GUUGUCGGCAACCAGCGGUCAGUAGUGCAUCUACUGCCCAACUGACCAGAUGUUGGUAGCGUAGGCAGGAGGCACUUUUGCUAGAAUCCAAUGGAUUCGCGAUGGAGAUUGGAUAUGGACGCCCUGAGGUCCGGCAGGGCCCAGGAGCGAGCAGGGAUCAUCUUGAAAUAUGAGCAGGGUCCCCGUAAAGGGCCCCAGUUUCACCUGGGAGAAGAGGACAACGAGAGUGGAGCCCUUGUCCCAGACAAACUUGGCUUCCUGCGUAAGCAGAAGCCGCCCAGGCAUGGAUGCCUGGCAGUGAG